rnacentral:rRNA from 1 species
UACGGGGGGAGCAAGCGUUGUUCGGAUUUACUGGGCGUAAAGGGCGCGUAGGCGGCACCGCAAGUCGACUGUGAAAUCUCCGGGCUUAACUCGGAAAGGUCAGCCGAUACUGCGGGGCUAGAGUGCAGAAGGGGCAACUGGAAUUCUCGGUGUAGCGGUGAAAUGCGUAGAUAUCGAGAGGAACACCUGCGGCGAAGGCGGGUUGCUGGGCCGACACUGACGCUGAGGCGCGAAAGCCAGGGGAGCGAACGGG